UGUGCAAAAGUAGCCAGGUGCUUGGAUGC
rnacentral:piRNA from 1 species